ACAUGAAUGUUGGUAGCAACUUUGUGAGAGCCAAAAAUCAGCAGCAAAUCAACAACUCAUUAACAACAAAAUGGAUAAAAUCAUGAUAUGCCCAUAGAGUGGACUGCUAUUCAGCAAUAAAUACAAAAAACAUGUUUUUGAUACAUAUAUCAAUGUGGCUGAAUGUUGAAAUAAGUAUGUUGAAUAAAAAAGCCAGAUAAAAUGAUCACAUACUGUAUAAUUAGCUUUAUCACAAUUCUAGAAAAUACAUAAUAUUGACAAAGUAAUCGGUGGUUCCCUGCAUAUGUAAUUGGAGGAAGGGAUGUUUUAUAAUAGUGAUAGUGGCAGGAGGCAGACAAAUUCCUAGGCAGAUCAGGGUGGGUCCCUGGUGAAAUCCAACUUUCAAGCCAAAGCCUGAAAAGCCUGAAAACCGGGCUGCCAGUUCCAGGUAGAAUCCACAACCGGAAGUGAGAACUUCCUGAUGCCUUUCAGCCAAUCAAAUGGUUCUUCUUUCAGAGCCCACCCAUGGACCAAUCAGCAUGCACGUCCUUCAUUCUGAGCAUAUAAAAACCCCUGGACUCGGCCACAGCUGUCGACUACCAGGCUGCGUUAGGAGCUACCGUCUUCAGCUUUUUCUCGCUGCUGAGAGCUGUUUUGUUACUCAGUAAAACUCUUCUCCACCGUGCUCACCCUUCAGUUGACCGUGCAACUUCAUUCUUCCUGGACAUAAACCCGGGACCCACAGAACAGCGGGUGCAAAAAGGGCUGUAACGCUUUCCUGGCCGGAUCGCCAAGCUGCAGGUAAGAUGUGCCUGCUUCACCUACUGGCGUGAAUGUAAACUUUCUGAGACCUUCCCAGCCAUGUGGAACUGUCACAUUUCAUUUCAUUUUUAGUGACUCUGCAAUGACCAUGGACAUUAUUUUUUAAUUGUUAAGG
rnacentral:lncRNA from 1 species